UCUUCCGAGCUUUCCGGAGUCCUGGGCUCGCUGCGGAGCCUUUUUCUGGCUGCGGGCAGUCCCGGAUUUCAGUGACCUGUAUGCCCAAGGGGACGUGGGGGAGACCCCCCUUGGCCAGUUUCGGAGCUGUGGAGGGGUCCACCCACCUGACUGACAGAUAGGACGGGUAAGAUGUUCACCUCAGCAGAAAUCCCAGAGAAGACGCAAGACGAGUGCGGAUCGCCCCCCGCAGGUCCUCACGCCUCAGACCAGAUCAGCAGCGGAGGCGGCGACGGCAGUAGCUGAAGGAGCAGCAACACAGAGUUGCCCAGGGAUGGAAUGAAGCAUAUAUGAGCCAAAUCAGAACCAGAAGUGCAAAAGAUAACUCAUCUUGCUUUCGGUACAACACAGUGGUAUCCCUCACCUAGGAAUCGUCUUGGAAGGGGUGGAUGAAGAGGCAGUCCUGUAUCACCCUUGUGCUAUUCCAGGCUUCCUUCACUCCUAAUUCUGCACAGCUGCUCCUAUUCCUACCAUGGUUUUGACUCCAUUCAACCAACUCCUCCAUUUUUGGGAAGAUGAAUGACUCAUGGACAGAUCAUUUUAUUUUGUUUAAAGUGAAUAAUAAUGGAAAAAAGAGUAACAGCUAAUAAAUAAACUGAAACUCUUCAAAGGGAAAAAUACUACUGUUGGCUAAGAACAAAUUCCAAAAAAGCUGACGGAGAAGAAGGAACUACCUGAGUAGAAAGUGAAUUAAGGCCUUAAUUUAAGUGGCCCACCUACUUUCUCCAUGUCCUCCAAUGAAGUAAAAAGGAUUUCCUUCUUGGUCCCCAGCAGUAAAGGGGAAAAAGGUACUAACAGGAAGUAGCAGUAAAGGUAACUGUUAUCUUCUGAAUCUUGCCUGAGCACACAAGAAAGGCCUAAGCUGUCUCCAAUCUGAACUGACAGUCUCCGCCUCAGGGAAUCUGUCUCCAGAAGAUUGUGGCUGUGAUAGUGCUGUAAUUGGCAAUGGCUCCAGUGGAGGCAGUGAGUCCUUGUAGUUAUACAUUUGUGCUUCUACUUCCAUCAGACUGACUCAGAAGUCUUAUCUUGACCAAAUGAAACCGAUUGGUUUCCCUACUUAUGGCAAGUAUUUUGACAGGAACAAAGAACUGAAAAUAAAGCACAUACUCAUAAAUUAAAGAAUGGCUCAACACAUUUUAGUAUGUGAAUGAAUGGAAUAUUACUGAACUGUAAGCAAUGCUCAAUAUAAAAUGUAUAGAGAAACCUGAACUGCUGCAAAGUGAAAUAAGCAGAACAAGAAAAGUGUUGAGGUGGGCAGAAAAAGACCUGUAUUGUCACAGAUUUUCAGAAUUAUCAUAUCAUGUCUAGAAGAAUACUGCAUGUUGAAGUAACAGACAUUAAUGAAGCACCCGAAAGUCCUGUCUUCAAAUUGUCCAGGGAAGGAUGUGUUUAUUAGGAUCUAAAUAUGGAAAUCAUGAAUUCAAGUGAAAGCCCUGUCUUUGGAACAAAGAUUCAGAUGUUUGAUAAACAAGAGCAGUGCAAGAAUCUGGACUUCUGGCC